UACUGGGCGUAAAGCGAGCGCAGACGGUUACUUAAGCAGGAUGUGAAAUCCCCGGGCUCAACCUGGGAACUGCGUUCUGAACUGGGUGACUAGAGUGUGUCAGAGGGAGGUAGAAUUCCACGUGUAGCAGUGAAAUGCGUAGAGAUGUGGAGGAAUACCGAUGGCGAAGGCAGCCUCCUGGGAUAACACUGACGUUCAUGCUCGAAAGCGUGGGUAGCAAACAGGAUUAGAUACCCUGGUAGUCCACGCCCUAAACGAUGUCAAUUAGCUGUUGGGCAACUUGAUUGCUUAGUAGCGUAGCUAACGCGUGGAAUUGACCGCCUGGGGAGUACGGUCGCAAGAUUAAAACUCAAAGGAAUUGACGGGGACCCGCACAAGCGGUGGAUGAUGUGGAUUAAUUCGAUGCAACGCGAAGAACCUUACCUGGUCUUGACAUGUACGGAAUCCUCCAGAGACGGAGGAGUGCCUUCGGGAACCGUAACACAGGUGCUGCAUGGCUGUCGUCAGCUCGUGUCGUGA
rnacentral:rRNA from 1 species